rnacentral:rRNA from 1 species
GCUAGUAAUGGCAGGUCAGCAUACUGCCGUGAAUACGUUCCCGGGCCCUUGUACACACCGCCCGUCACACCAUGAGAGUUGGGGAUACCCGAAGCCUGUGAGCUAACUUUAUAAGGAGCAGCAGUCGAAGGUAGAAUCAAUGAUUGGGGUGAAGUCGUAACAAGGUAAC